rnacentral:rRNA from 1 species
UACGUAGGGUGCAAGCGUUAAUCGGAAUUACUGGGCGUAAAGCGUGCGCAGGCGGUUUUGUAAGUCAGAUGUGAAAUCCCCGGGCUUAACCUGGGGAACUGCGUUUGAAACUACAAGGCUAGAGUGUGACAGAGGGGGGUGGAAUUCCACGUGUAGCAGUGAAAUGCGUAGAGAUGUGGAGGAACACCGAUGGCGAAGGCAGCCCCCUGGGUUAACACUGACGCUCAGGCACGAAAGCGUGGGGAGCAAACAGG